ACGGAAGGCAGCAGUGGGGAAUAUUUGGCAAUGGGGGAAACCCUGACCCAGCAACGCCGCGCGAAGGAAGAAGGCUUUCGGGUUGUAAACUUCUUUUACCAGGGACGAAGGACGUGACGGUACCUGGAGAAAAAGCUCCGGCUAACUACGUGCCAGCAGCCGCGGUAAUACGUAGGGAGCAAGCGUUAUCCGGAUUUACUGGGUGUAAAGGGCGUGUAGGCGGGACAUCAAGUCAGAUGUGAAAGCACGAGGCUCAACUUCGUGUCUGCAUUUGAAACUGACGUUCUUGAGUGUUGGAGAGGCUAACGGAACUCCUAGUGUAGCGGUGAAAUGCGUAGAUAUUAGGAAGAACACCAGUGGCGAAGGCGGUUAGCUGGACAAUAACUGACGCUGAGGCGCGAAAGCGUGGGUAGCAAACAGGAUUAGAUACCCUGGUA
rnacentral:rRNA from 1 species